rnacentral:rRNA from 1 species
GACAGAGGAUGCAAGCGUUAUCCGGAAUGAUUGGGCGUAAAGCGUCUGUAGGUGGCUUUUUAAGUCCGCCGUCAAAUCCCAGGGCUCAACCCUGGACAGGCGGUGGAAACUACCAAGCUGGAGUACGGUAGGGGCAGAGGGAAUUUCCGGUGGAGCGGUGAAAUGCGUAGAGAUCGGAAAGAACACCCGAUGCGGCAGGAACGGCACUCUGGCGUAGGCCGAACACUGACUGGAGGAAAGGCACGGAAAUGGGGAGCCGUAAACGGGGGAAGGGCGAAAAUUUGGGGAAUUGAAAAGACCCUUAACCCGGUUAGGUUCCAAGGAUCCCCAAAGGAUCCCAAGUUCCUUCGUCUG